AAUGAACGUUGGCGGCGUGGAUUAGGCAUGCAAGUCGAGCGCUCACCCGCAAGGGUGGGAGCGGCGAAAGGGAGAGUAACGCGUGGGUAUCUGCCCUCGGGACUGGGAUAGCUGCGGGAAACCGCAGGUAAUACCAAAUGACGGCCGCGGACCAAAGGUGUGAUUCCGGCUGAGGAUGUGCCCGCGUCCUAUUAGCAUGUUGGUGGGGUAAUGGCCUACCAAGGCAAUGAUGGGUACUGGGUGUGAGAGCACGACCCAGCUCACUGGGACUGAGACACUGCCCAGACACCUACGGGUGGCUGCAGUCGAGAAUCUUCGGCAAUGGGCGAAAGCCUGACCGAGCGACGCCGCGUGUGGGAUGAAGGCCUUCGGGUUGUAAACCGCUGUCAGAGGGGAGGAAUGGGCGGAGGGUAAUCUCUUCGUUUUGACCUAUCCUCAGAGGAAGUACGGGCUAAGUUCGUGCCAGCCGCCGCGGUAA
rnacentral:rRNA from 1 species